GUUACAGAAGAAACUUGAGACACUUUCCUAGUCUGCAGUCAUGAUCAAACUGCUGAGUCUUGCUGUUGUAGCAGUGCUGGUUUUUGAUUCAGUCGAAUCAACUAAGAAAUAUGUGCCACGCCCACGGCCUUGGCUGCCGCGAAUGUGCUGGACUAACUGGUACGAUCGAGACAAUCCUAGCGGAACAGGUGACUGGGAGAUCUUGACAAGCCUGAGAAAAGAAAACCCAAAAGAAAUAUGCUCAUAUCCUCGGAGAAUCCAAGCCGUUACCACUGACACACAGACUCCAGCCCAUGCAACUGGCGAGAGAUUUCAUAUCUACAGUCCAAGGGGGGGACUUGUUUGCCGGAAUCAGGACCAGCGAUCUCGCUUCUGCAGGGACUACAAAGUUCGCUUUCUUUGCCCCUGUAUUCGCCCUUUCCCUAUCGACAUGCUUGAGCAUGUCCGAGAUAUUAAAAAAGUAUAAUUUGAAUAUGAAACAGACAAUUUAUUUCUUUUUUCUUUUUUUUAUCUGCCUUGUAAAACUAAUUUAGACAAACAAAGCUGGAAAUUAUAUGUGUAUAAUUGAGUCUGCACAUGGUUUUUACUCAUACAUACAAUUAGAAUUUUAUACAUUUUAAUAUCUCAUAGUGAUGAGAAACAUUGUUUUCCUAAGUAUAACUGGUUAUUGUAAAACAUAGUUGUUCUUAAUAAAUACACUAAACUAGUUUAAAAGGCUCCUAAACUUUUACAAAGUAGUACCUGUUAACCCCCCCUUAACAGCUUGUAAUGCUGGUUUUGAUCUUUGAUAUUACUCUUCACAGGCUAGGUUUGAGUUUUGCCUUGUUUUGGUCUUGAUUGUUGUUUUGUUUUUUUGCGGUCUGGACAAAUGAAGCUCUUUCAUGUUGAGCAGCAAGUCGAGCUCCAGCGUCACAGUGAACCACUUUCUACAACCCCAGAUCCCUGAAAGUGAGACAGCUGAAAAGAAUCCAACCAUCUUUGAUCAGACAUGUUGUUUCCAGACUAAAUGUGCUCUUGGGAGAGAGAUUUAUUGUGUUUUUGUUUGUUUUUCUAUUAUUCUUAUUUUGUUCUUCUAGGAUCAUGAAAUCGACUUUGUUUGACUAAUGUGAGGAAACAAAUAAACCUACAAAUAAACUUUUAACUACAACCAAA